rnacentral:rRNA from 1 species
GCCUUUAGCAACACAAGUAUUAAAGGUGACGCCUGCCCAGUGAACAUUUCAACGGCCGCGGUAUCCUAACCGUGCAAAGGUAGCGUAAUCAUUUGUCCUCUAAAUAAGGACCUGUAUGAAUGGCUAAAUGAGGAUUAACCUGUCUCCUUUAACUGGUCAGUGAAACUGAUCUUCCAGUACAAAAGCUGGCAUAAACACAUAAGACGAGAAGACCCUGUGGAGCUUUAAAUUUUUGUCAAACAAAAUAAACACCUAACCGUUAAUGAUAAACAAUUUUUAGUUGGGGCGACUUCGGAACAAAACAAAACUUCCGAGCACAGAGAUUAAAACCUCAAUCAAGGCCAAUAAGCCAAAACUAAACUUGACCCAGUAUUACUGAUCAACAGACCAAGUUACCCCAGGGAUAACAGCGCUAUCUUCUUCAAGAGUCCAUAUCGACAAGAAGGUUUACGACCUCGAUGUUGGAUCAGGACACCCAAAUGGUGCAGCCGCUAUUAAAGGUUCGUUUGUUCAACGAUUAAUAGUCCU